AAGACGACGACGUUGAUAGGUCGGGUGUGUAAGCGCAGCGAUGCGUUGAGCUAACCGGUACUAAUGAACCGUGAGGCUUAACCUUACAACGCCGAAGGUGUUU
rnacentral:rRNA from 1 species